UACGGGGGGGGCAAGCGUUGUUCGGAAUUACUGGGCGUAAAGGGCUCGUAGGUGGCCAACUAAGUCAGACGUGAAAUCCCUCAGCUUAACUGGGGAACUGCGUCUGAUACUGGAUGGCUUGAGAUUGGGAGAGGGAUGCGGAAUUCCAGGUGUAGCGGUGAAAUUCGUAGAUAUCGAGAGGAACACCGGUGGCGAAGGCGGCGAUCUGGACGAUGACUGACGCUGAGACGCGAAAGCGUGGGGAGCAAACAGG
rnacentral:rRNA from 1 species